UGGGGCUGGGCUGGGAAAGAAGAGCGGUUGGAAAAACAUGUAACGGUGCAGCUACCAGCCCGCGACACCCCUACUGAGACCCAGUACACCAAAGGAGACCAACUAGCUAGCUUUGGCAGUUAGGAGCGCAUUCCAGCAGGAACCGGAGAUACUUGCAAGGCAUAAAAGGAAUAGAAACAACAGUAAAAGUUGGUCCCUUCCAUCACAUUGGGACUUUAUGGGGUGGUGGGGAAGGCCUAGUCCCCCACCUUGAUCAGGCCAGACACCCCCACAAGUCCCCCAAACCAUGGACAAACAAGUAGCCAUGAGUACACCAGGCAAGGUCAGCGGGAUCAAACCCCCCAGUAAAAUAGUCCGUCCAUCUGGGGUGCCAUCAAAGACGUCUCCAUCCU